rnacentral:lncRNA from 1 species
CAGUCUCCUGCUCAUCCCCUUCUCUUGCCUAUGCAGAGCCACUGAAUGCUUAUAAUGGAAAUAUUUUUGCAUCUAUGUAGCGGAGAACACCCGUCCAAACCGGAUGUUUGAGAUCACAGGGACUGACCCAGAAUCUGCACUGGGGCAGACAUGAAAGCAUGAAAAUUUCAUUCACAAAGGUUUUCUGGGACCAGCUCUUUUCUGCCUAAGCAGAGUCACGCACGUACUGGCUCAGACGCUCCCACAGCCCUUCCAAAGCAGAGCUGACUGCUUUUAAAGUUAUGCAGGGCUACAUCCUUAAUGGACAGAGGCCACGAGCUCAACUGGGAACAAUUACCAGCUGAAUAAGAUGUUCAUCUGCAAGGGGUGCACUUCUGCCAGCUACUACCCUUGGACGGCCCACGGAGCGAGAGGCACAGUUGGUCCCACGCCUACUUGUUUUCCUUCCCUUUGCUGCCACAGUUUCAACUGAUUUUGAUUACCCUGGCGCCAAAUAAAUGAAAACAUUUCAUAGACAUAUAAUCACUCGUCACUGCAAAGAAAGGAAAAAUGCUUGUGUACUGCGUGUUUAUAAAUACACUUAAUGAAAAAGGGAGAGAUCUGCCCUUCCCAGCCUCGUGUGGCUGAAGCCAGUGUAGCUGCAUGUCCUGUCAGGAAAGUCAGCCGCUGCUACCAUCCUGAUGUGGCCACUGGUGUGGAUGUCACUGGGAGAGACACAGCCCUGCCCCCUUCCCUGAUCAUGCUCCGAUGAUCAGUGUGGGGUGAGAGCAAACCUCCAAGUCAGCAAUUAAGACAUCCAAGAAUUUCAUGUUGAGGAAAGGGAAAAGCCCCAGACAUUGCCAUGAGGACUGCAUAUGGAAGAAAAUGCAAGCAAAUCCAGCAUGGGAAAAUGAGGUUGGAUGAACAACAGCACUCUUCAGCUUUAUUUAGUGGAGAUGCACUGGGCGAGCGUUCAUCAGGCUUUCAUACUGGAUCAGACAGGAGCUCAGACUAUUUUGGCAGAGGGCAGUAACCAGGUGCAAGUCCCAGGCCACUGACUAGCUCAGCCAGAGCUAUCUCCAUACACAGUACCACACUAAAAGAGGAUGCAACAGCCAUAAAGACAGCAGUGCUCUCUGAGAACCUGUUACCAACUCCAGGUUUGUUCUAUCCAUCAUAAGCAAAAUGUUGAUGUUCUUAGAAUGAAUGAGUCCUAACCAUAAAUGCUGAAGUAUUUUCUGAGCAAUUAGAUGGAAUAAGGUAUUUUUGCUGGGAUUCCCUG